ACCCUCGUAGAUGAACCAGUACAUCACCCGUUUCACAUACAUUUUAGUUUGUGAAUAUAAACGGGAGGUGGAGGUUCGAAUCCUCCCGAGGGCA